AGUGAACGCUGGCGGUAGGCCUAACACAUGCAAGUCGAACGGCAGCACAGUAAGAGCUUGCUCUUACGGGUGGCGAGUGGCGGACGGGUGAGGAAUACAUCGGAAUCUACUUUUUCGUGGGGGAUAACGUAGGGAAACUUACGCUAAUACCGCAUACGACCUACGGGUGAAAGCAGGGGAUCUUCGGACCUUGCGCGAUUGAAUGAGCCGAUGUCGGAUUAGCUAGUUGGCGGGGUAAAGGCCCACCAAGGCGACGAUCCGUAGCUGGUCUGAGAGGAUGAUCAGCCACACUGGAACUGAGACACGGUCCAGACUCCUACGGGAGGCAGCAGUGGGGAAUAUUGGACAGUGGGCGCAAGCCUGAUCCAGCCAUACCGCGUGGGUGAGAAGGCCUUCGGGUUGUAAAGCCCUUUUGUUGGGAAAGAAAAGCAGCAGGUUAAUACCCCGCUGUUCUGACGGUACCCAAAGAAUAAGCACCGGCUAACUUCGUG
rnacentral:rRNA from 1 species